CGUACAGAACCUUCCUCUUAAGUGGGGGAUAGCCCGGAGAAAUCCGGAUUAAUACCCCAUAGUAUUAUUGUGUGGCAUCACAUGAUGAUUAAAGAUUUAUUGCUUAGAGAUGGCUGUGCGGCUGAUUAGGUAGUUGGCGGGGUAAAGGCCCACCAAGCCAGCGAUCAGUAACUGGUGUGAGAGCACGACCAGUCACACGGGCACUGAGACACGGGCCCG
rnacentral:rRNA from 1 species